UACGUAGGGGGCGAGCGUUGUCCGGAAUCAUUGGGCGUAAAGAGCGUGUAGGCGGCUUGGUAAGUCUGGUGUGAAAUCUUGGGGCUCAACCCCAAGCCUGCACUGGAUACUGCCUCGCUAGAGUCCGGGAGGGGAGAUCGGAAUUCCUAGUGUAGCGGUGAAAUGCGCAGAUAUUAGGAAGAACACCGGUGGCGAAGGCGGAUCUCUGGAACGGUACUGACGCUGAGACGCGAAAGCGUGGGGAGCAAACAGG
rnacentral:rRNA from 1 species